UCGAACGCGAAAGAAGCCUUCGGGUUUCAAGUAGAGUGGCGUCCGGGUGAGUAACACGUAGGUAAUCUACCUUCGGGUGGGGAAUAACGCAGGGAAACUUGCGCUAAUACCGCAUAAUGCAGCGGCACCACAUGGUGACAGUUGUUAAAGCGGGGGAUUUUCGAACCUCGCGCCUGAAGAGGAGCCUGCGGCGGAUUAGCUAGUUGGUAAGGUAACGGCUUACCAAGGCGACGAUCCGUAACCGGCCUGAGAGGGCGGUCGGUCACACUGACACUGACAUACGGGUCAGACUCCUACGGGAGGCAGCAGUCGGGAAUUUUGGGCAAUGGGCGAAAGCCUGACCCAGCAACGCCGCGUGAAGGAUGAAAUCCCUCGGGAUGUAAACUUCGCAAGAAUGGGAAGAAUGAACGAGCGCUAACACCGUUCGUGAUGACGGUACCAUUUGUAAGCUCCGGCUAACUCCGUGCCAGCAGCCGCGGUAAUACGGGGGGAGCAAGCGUUGUUCGGAUUUACUGGGCGUAAAGGGCGCGUAGGCGGCCAGCGCAAGUCAGUUGUGAAAUCUCCGGGCUUAACUCGGAAAGGUCAACUGAUACUGCGCGGCUAGAGUGCAGAAGGGGCAACUGGAAUUCUCGGUGUAGCGGUGAAAUGCGUAGAUAUCGAGAGGAACACCUGCGGCGAAGGCGGGUUGCUGGGCUGACACUGACGCUGAGUGCGCGAAAGCCAGGGGAGCGAACGGGAUUAGAUACCCCGGUAGUCCUGGCCUAAACGAU
rnacentral:rRNA from 1 species